GGUGAGUAGAGCGGCGGACGGGUGAGUAACGCGUGGGAAUCUACCGAGUAGUGGGGGACAACAGUUGGAAACGACUGCUAAUACCGCAUACGCCCUACGGGGGAAAGCAGGGGAUCUUCGGACCUUGUGCUAUUUGAUGAGCCCGCGUUAGAUUAGCUAGAUGGUAGGGUAAAGGCCUACCAUGGCGACGAUCUAUAGCUGGUCUGAGAGGAUGAUCAGCCACACUGGAACUGAGACACGGUCCAGACUCC
rnacentral:rRNA from 1 species